rnacentral:rRNA from 1 species
UACGUAGGGCGCAAGCGUUAUCCGGAAUUAUUGGGCGUAAAGAGCUCGUAGGCGGUUUGUCGCGUCUGCCGUGAAAGUCCGGGGCUCAACUCCGGAUCUGCGGUGGGUACGGGCAGACUAGAGUGAUGUAGGGGAGACUGGAAUUCCUGGUGUAGCGGUAGAAAUGUGCAGAUAUCAGGAGGAACACCGGUGGCGAAGGCGGGUCCCUGGACAACACCUGACACUGAGGCACGAAAGCUAGGGGAGCAAACAGG